rnacentral:rRNA from 1 species
GCUCCAAUAGCGUAUAUUAAAGUUGUUGCAGUUAAAAAGCUCGUAGUUGAAUUUUGGGCCUGGCCGGGGUGGUCUAUCCGCAAGGAUUGUACUGCAUCUGUCGGGUCUUUCCUUCUGGGGAACCAACGUGCUAUUAAUUUAGUGCGUUGGGGGAUCCAGGACUUUUUACUUUGAAAAAAUUAGAGUGUUUAAAGCAGGCA